GAUGAACGCUGGCGGCGUGCCUAACACAUGCAAGUCGAACGAAGCGCCUGGCCCCGACUUCUUCGGAACGAGGAGCCUUGCGACUGAGUGGCGGACGGGUGAGUAACGCGUGGGCAACCUGCCUUGCACUGGGGGAUAACAGCCAGAAAUGGCUGCUAAUACCGCAUAAGACCGAAGCGCCGCAUGGCGCGGCGGCCAAAGCCCCGGCGGUGCAAGAUGGGGCCCCGCGUCUGAUUAGCUAGUUGGUAAGGUAACGGCUUACCAAGGCGACGAUCAGUAGCCGACCUGGGAGGGUGAUCGGGCCACAUUGGGAACUGAGACACGGGUCCAAACUCCUACGGGAGGCAGCAGUGGGGAAUAUUGCACAAUGGGCGAAAGCCUGAUGCAGCAACGCCGCGUGAGCGA
rnacentral:rRNA from 1 species